UACGGGGGGGGGCAAGCGUUGUUCGGAAUUACUGGGCGUAAAGGGCUAGUAGGCGGCCAACUAAGUCAGACGUGAAAUCCCUCAGCUUAACUGGGGGAACUGCUUCUGAUACUGGAUGGCUUGAGUUUGGGAGAGGGAUGCGGAAUUCCUGGUGUAGCGGUGAAAUGCGCAGAUAUCAGGAGGAACACCGAUGGCGAAGGCAGGUCUCUGGGCCAUAACUGACGCUGAGAAGCGAAAGCAUGGGGGAGCGAACAGG
rnacentral:rRNA from 1 species